UAGUUAAAAAUCACUCAUCAUGGGGGGGAAAUGUUUUUGUAAUACCAUUUAUGAAUUUGGGCUAUUUGGGAAGAUAAAGAAAACACCACCCUCCACAGUGGGCUAUUCCACCUAGGGUAGCUCACUACAAUUUUGUGGCCUCCAUU
ensembl:snoRNA